GGUGUUGGUGUCGCGUUUUGAUAUCAGCUGGGGUCUUACCGACUUCGCAACCAGAUUCUUAUCCAUUUGCAAUCGGAAUGAUCAAUUUAGUCGAGUUUUACGGUGAAAAUUUAGCCACGGUUUGAUUUGAAAAGUGAUGAGGUAUUUCCACGCCAUUCGACCAAGCUUAAUCGAAAGUGAACAAUUCUAAAGCAUAUCUUUUGUCUUUCUCCACGUGAUCGCUGCCGUGUCAUGAAGAUGUUUCUUUGAGAGGGUCUCUACUAUAUUGCAAGACAAAAAUGUGAUGAGAACAGGAAAUCUGAGUUGUUUGUAUAAUGUACUUUUAAGAUAAAUCGAGUAGAGUUCAAGCUGCAGACGUGCCGGCCAGUUUGCAUGUCCUUCACGCUUGAAGGUCACGGUGAACAUUACGUGUAAAACUGUCAAUGCGGUGGUGUAGAGGUUGGGUGAGAAACACCCAUCCCCACCAACGUCAACCUGCAAAAGGAAAGGGCAGUCCGCCAUUCCUUCAUGCUCGAAGGUCACGGAGAUCAUUACGUG